rnacentral:rRNA from 1 species
UACAGAGGUCUCAACCGUUGUUCGGAUUCAUUGGGCGUAAAGGGUGCGUAGGCGGUCGCGCAAGUCGGAUGUGAAAUCUUAGGGCUCAACCCCUGAAACUGCAGUCGAUAGCUGCGUGGCUCGAGUACUGGAGAGGAGACUGGAAUUUACGGUGUAGCAGUGAAAUGCGUAGAUAUCGUAAGGAAGACCAGUGGCGAAGGCGAGUCUCUGGACAGUUACUGACGCUGAGGCACGAAGGCCAGGGGAGCAAACGGG